rnacentral:rRNA from 1 species
AUGCUUCUCCUAAAGACUAAGCCAUGCAUGUCUUCGAAUAAGAGGUAAGCAAUUCUCUCUGAAUCUGCGAACGGCUCCGCAAACCAGUUGUAAGCUAUGGCAAGGAUGCUCGUCGAAACCGGGUUUCGCCGCCCGGUAAGUAGGCGGGCGACAGGGAUACCCCUGGUAAUCCUGAGGCUAAUACUUGAACGUACCCCCUGGCAGCUCUCGUAGCGGCCGGGGACCGUGCGAUCAUCCAAAGCGGUGGGAAACCACCCGGGAAAGGGCGCAUAGUCAAACCGCGGCAAAAAAAGGUUUGGUGGAGUCCUCGAGGCCUUCGGGCCCCGGGGCGAAGCCUUUCCUCGCGGGUCUUGCAUUGCGCUUCUGACCUAUCAACUGUAUAGCAGUGUAAGGGACAUGCUAUGGUUACAACGGGUACAGAGGAUUAGGGUUCGAUCCUGGAGAGUGGGCCUGAGAGAUUGCUCACACUUCUAAGGAAGGCAGCAGGCGCGUAACGUUCCCAUUGGGCAAUGCCCGAGGGCGUUAGGGGAAAUAUGAAUGCCUGCCUUUCGGUGGGCAAUUCAAAUGGGUC